rnacentral:tRNA from 1 species
AGUCCAGACACAAUUAGACUGCAAAUCUGAGUUUGGGUAGGAUUACCCCUGGGCUU